rnacentral:rRNA from 1 species
AGAACGAACGCUGGCGGCAUGCCUAAUACAUGCAAGUCGAACGAACUCUUCGGAGUUAGUGGCGCACGGGUGCGUAACGCGUGGGAAUCUGCCCUUGGGUUCGGAAUAACAGUUGGAAACGACUGCUAAUACCGGAUGAUGACGAAAGUCCAAAGAUUUAUCGCCCAGGGAUGAGCCCGCGUAGGAUUAGCUAGUUGGUGAGGUAAAGGCUCACCAAGGCGACGAUCCUUAGCUGGUCUGAGAGGAUGAUCAGCCACACGUGGGACUGAGACACGGCCCAGACUCCUACGGGAGGCAGCAGUAGGGAAUAUUGGACAAUGGGGACGAAAAGCCUAGAUCC